rnacentral:rRNA from 1 species
GACGAACGCUGGCGGCGUGCUUAACACAUGCAAGUCGAGCGGUAAGGCCCUUUCGGGGGUACACGAGCGGCGAACGGGUGAGUAACGCGUGGGUGACCUGCCCUCAGCUCUGGGAUAAGCCUGGGAAACCGGGUCUAAUACUGGAUAUGACUCCAUGACGCAUGUUGUGGGGUGGAAAGCCUUGUGCGGCUGAGGAUGGGCCCGCGGCCUAUCAGCUUGUUGGUGGGGUGAGGCCUACCAAGGCGACGACGGGUAGCCGGCCUGAGAGGGCGACCGGCCACACUGGGACUGAGACACGGCCCAGACUCCUACGGGAGGCAGCAGUGGGGAAUCUUGCGCAAUGGGCGAAAGCCUGACGCAGCGACGCCGCGUGAGGGAUGACGGCCU